rnacentral:rRNA from 1 species
CACCAAAUCCAAGCAGCAUGCUAGUAAUGCAAGUCGAGCGAAUGGAUUAAGAGCUUGCUCUUAUGAAGUUAGCGGGGGACGGGUGAGUAACACGUGGGUAACCUGCCCAUAAGAAUGGGUUAGCGGACGGGAAACCGGGGCUAAUACCGGAUAACAUUUUGAACCGCAUGGUUCGAAAUUGAAAGGCGGCCUUUCAAAAUCACUUAUGGAUGGACCCGCGUCGCAUUAGCUAGUUGGUGAGGUAACGGCUCACCAAGGCAACGAUGCGUAGCCGACCUGAGAGGGUGAUCGGCCACACUGGGACUGAGACACGGCCCAGACUCCUACGGGAGGCAGCAGUAGGGAAUCUUCAGCAAUGGACGAAAGUCUGACGGAGCAACGCCACGUGAGUGAUGAAGGCUUUCGGGUCGUAAAACUCUGUUGUUAGGGAAGAACAAGUGCUAGUUGAAUAAACUGGCACCUUGACGGUACCUAACCAGAAAGC